rnacentral:rRNA from 1 species
CCCUUAGACGUUCUGGACCGCACGCGCGCUACACUGGCCGGUGCAACAAGCAUCCGUCCUUGGCCGACAGGCCCGGGCAAUCUUUGAACGCCGGUCGUGAUGGGGAUAGACUUUUGCAAUUUUUGGUCUUCAACGAGGAAUUCCUAGUAAACGCAAGUCAUCAACUUGCAUUGAUUACGUCCCUGCCCUUUGUACACACCGCCCGUCGCACCUACCGAUUGAAUGGUCCGGUGAAGCCUCCGGAUUGGCGCGCACCUCGGUGCCGCCGAGAAGUUGGCUAAACCUUACCAUUUAGAGGAAGGUGAAGUCGUAACA